GCUUUUAAAGGAUAACAGCUCAUCCAUUGGUCUUAGGAACCAAAAACUCUUGGUGCAAAUCCAAGUAAAGGCU
rnacentral:tRNA from 1 species